rnacentral:rRNA from 1 species
AUUGAACGCUGGCGGCAGGCCUAACACAUGCAAGUUGAGCGGCAGCGGGAAAGUAGCUUGCUACUUUUGCCGGCGAGCGGCGGACGGGUGAGUAAUGCCUGGGAAAUUGCCCAGUCGAGGGGGAUAACAGUUGGAAACGACUGCUAAUACCGCAUACGCCCUACGGGGGAAAGCAGGGGGCCUUCGGGCCUUGCGCGAUUGGAUAUGGCCAGGUGGGAUUAGCUAGUUGGUGAGGUAAUGGCUCACCAAGGCGACGAUCCCUAGCUGGUCUGAGAGGAUGAUCAGCCACACUGGAACUGAGACACGGUCCAGACUCCUACGGGAGGCAGCAGUGGGGAAUAUUGCACAAUGGGGGAAACCCUGAUGCAGCCAUGCCGCGUGUGUGAAGAAGGCCUUCGGGUUGUAAAGCACUUUCAGCGAGGAGGAAAGGUUGAUGCCUAAUACGUAUCAACUGUGACGUUACUCGCAGAAGAAGCACCGGCUAACUCCGUGCCAGCCGCCGCCGUAA